ensembl:lncRNA
AUGGAUGCAGCAAGCACCUCUCAACUCCAGGAUUUCAUCGCUCACAGUAUCUCACGUAUGGACCAACAGGAAGAAAACAUCUCAGGCACAGGUCGAGCGGUACAAACACUCGUGAAGCAGGUGUCCGAGCUCACCCAACAGGUACAGCUUCUACGGACUCCCACUGCGUUCCCCACGCUGCCCGAUCCCCCAGCGCCGGCAGCAGCGGAAGGACCAGAGCCACGCCUACCCACACCAGAAGGAUAUUCCGGUGAGCCUGAAUUUUGUAGAGGAUUCCUCACGAGAUGUUCCAAGCAUUUUGCUUUACAACCACGUACUUUUCAGAGCGAACAGACAAGGGUAGCAUUUGUACUCACCCUGCUGUCAGGAAGAGCAACGCUUUGGGGAACGGCGGUGUGGGAGAACGGACACAACUGCUGCACCUCGUUCCUGAGAGUGGACACUUUGCCUAUACUGCGGCCAGGCAGGCCACUUCAUCCACUCCUGUCCGGUAAAAGAGCAGGCCCGGUAAGUAAGGCAGCAGAUUUGUCUAACGUGCCCGCGGAGUACCUCGACCUGAAGGAAGUGUUCAUCCGGUGGCAGUCCGACUCAAACUUCCUCCGGCGUACAGGAGAAUUCACCCCACCUUCCAUGUGUCUAAAAUCAAGCCCGUGUUUUAUUCUCCCAUUAAUCCGCAUGCCCCGGUCCCCCCGCCGCGACUUGUAG